AACGAACGCUGGCGGCGCGCCUAAUACAUGCAAGUCGAGCGAGAAGACGUAGCAAUACGUUUGUAAAGCGGCGAACGGGUGAGGAAUACAUGGGUAACCUACCCUCGAGUGGGGAAUAACUAGCCGAAAGGUUAGCUAAUACCGCGUACGCUCCUUGGACUUCGGUUCAGGGAGGAAAGCGAUACCGUGGGUAUCGCGCUCUUGGAUGGGCUCAUGUCCUAUCAGCUUGUUGGUGAGGAACGGCUCACCAAGGCUUCGACGGGUAGCUGGUCUGAGAGGACGAUCAGCCACACUGGCACUGCGACACGGGCCAGACUCCUACGGGAGGCAGCAGUAAGGAAUAUUGCGCAAUGGGCGAAAGCCUGACGCAGCGACGCCGCGUGAAGGAUGAAGUAUUUCGGUAUGUAAACUUCGAAAGAAUGGGAAGAAUAAAUGACGGUACCAUUUAUAAGGUCCGGCUAACUACGUGCCAGCCGCCGCAGU
rnacentral:rRNA from 1 species